GGGUAUGUAGCUCAGUUGGUAGAGCACCGGGCUUUUAACCUGAUGGUCGUGGGUUCAAAUCCCCCCAUACCCA
rnacentral:tRNA from 1 species